rnacentral:rRNA from 1 species
AUAAGAGCAUAAGGUGAAUGCCUUGGCAUCAAGAACCGAUGAAGGACGUAAAAAGCUGCGAUAAGCUUCGGGGAGGCGCACAUAGCCAACGAUCCGGAGAUUUCCGAAUGGGGAAACCUAGCUGAGAAAAGCUCAGUUGGCGUACAGUGAAUCAAUAGCUGUGCGUAGGGAACGCUCUGAACUGAAACAUCUAAGUAGGAGCAGGAAGAGAAAGAAACAUCGAUUUCCUAAGUAGUGGCGAACGAACGGGAAACAGGCCAAACCGAGAUACAUGUAUUUCGGGGUUGUGGACUACAUCAUGUGAUGGAGGUAAGGUAGUAGAAUUGUUUUGGGAAAGCAAGCCAAAGAAAGUGAAAGCCUUGUAUACGAAACCUGAAGACCCACAGUAGUAUCCAGAGUACAUCGGGACACGUGAAACCCUGAUGGAAGCCGGAGGGACCACCCUCCAAGCCUAAAUAUUCCUUGAUGACCGAUAGCGAAGAAGUACUGUGAAGGAAAGGUGAAAAGAACCCCGGGAGGGGAGUGAAAGAGAACCUGAAACCUUAUGUUUACAAACAGUCGAAGUUUUUCGGAACGACGGCGUACUUUUUGUAGAACGGUCCGGCGAGUUGCAGUGACAUGCGAGGUUAAGGAGUACAGCUCCGGAGCCGAAGGGAAACCAAGUCUUAACUGGGCGUCUAGUAUGUUAAUGCAGACCCGAAACCGGGUGACCUAUCCAUGGGCAGGUUGAAGUUACCGUAAAAGGUAAUGGAGGACCGAACUCACAUCUGUUGAAAAAGGUGGAGAUGACCUGUGGAUAGCGGAGAAAUUCCAAUCGAACUCGGAGAUAGCUGGUUCUCCUCGAAAUAGCUUUAGGGCUAGCCUUGAGGUAAAGUCUAAUGGAGGUAAAGCACUGAUUGGACGCGGGUCCCCAAAAGGAUACCAACUUCUAUCAAACUCAGAAUGCCAUAUAGAUAUACUCAGGAGUCAGACUAUGUGAGAUAAGUUUCAUAGUCAAAAGGGAAAGAGCCCAGACCGACAGCUAAGGUCCCAAAGUGUGUGUUAAGUGGAAAAGGAUGUUAGGUUUCUAAGACAACUAGGAUGUUGGCUCAGAAGCAGCCACUCAUUUAAAGAGUGCGUAACAGCUCACUAGUCGAGAGGUCUAGCGCCGAAAAUGUCCGGGGCUAAAACACACCACCGAAGCUACGGAAUUACCUAUGGUAAUUGGUAGAGGAGCAUUCUGUAAGGACGAAGCACAAUUGAAAGAGAGUGUGGACGAAACAGAAGAGAGAAUGCCGGAAUGAGUAGCGAGAUAUAUGUGAGAAUCAUAUAGGUCGAAUGUCUAAGGUUUCCUGGGUAAAGCUGAUCUGCUCAGGGUAAGUCGGGACCUAAGGUGAGGGCGAGAGCCGUAAUCGAUGGACAACAGGUAGAAAUUCCUGUACUACGUAUAAUCAGAACUGUGGGGACGCAGGAGGAUAGGAAAACCGGAGAAUGGAAAAAUCCGGCUAAGUACAAAGGUGUGAGUGAUAGGCAAAUCCGUCACUAUAAGCUGAAGUACGAAUGGGAGCGAAGAAAAGUAGCGAAGUUUCUGAAUCCACACUGUCAAGAAAAGCCGCUAUUGCGUUAUACGUACCCGUACCGCAAACCGACACAGGUAGACGAGGAGAAAAUCCACAGACCGACGGGAGAAGUGUUGUUAAGGAACUCGGCAAAAUGACCCCGUAACUUAGGGAUAAGGGGAGCCAACGCAAGUUGGUCACAGAAAAGAGGCUCAAGCGACUGUUUAGCAAAAACAUAGGUCUAUGCGAAACCGUAAGGUGAUGUAUAUGGGCUGACACCUGCCCGGUGCUGGAAGGUCAAAAGGAGAGGUUAGCGUAAGCGAAGCUUUGAAUUCAAGCCCCAGUAAACGGCGGCCGUAACUAUAACGGUCCUAAGGUAGCGAAAUUCCU